ACAUAAACAUUCAUGAGCAUCACUCAUGUCAAUCAGCUUCAAAAGCUUUAUUUACAGAGCUACAACUUCAAAAGCUUCAUUUACAAAAGCUCUAACUUCAAAAGCUUCCUUUACAGAGCUCCAGCUUCAAAGCUUCACUUACAAAGCUUCACUUACAAAGCUUCACUUUCAAAGCUUUAGUGCAGGGUAUACAAAUACCGCCUCCGAAUAACCGCCACUUCGGCCCAUACAUGGAUUCAAUUUGAAGUCUUCGGCCAACAGACUCUAUUGACCGAAGACUUGGGGGACUACAUUAUACACCAUAUAUUAGGCCUCAACUGGGCCUCAUGAAAAAUACCUGGGGGACUCUAGCCCAUCACUUAUGUAUUGAGGAGUGAACCCUUAUUUUAUAAAAGUGACUCCCUCACUUUCAUUAGAAAGCAUCCAUUAUUCAUGUAUUGAGGAGCGAACCCUUAUUUUAUAAAAUGGACUCCCUCACCUUCAUUAGAGAGCAACGCCGUUAGCUGAGCAACUGCCUCGCCGUGAGCAUCACUCCUAACCCAUCACUUAUGUAUUGAGGAGGGAGCCCUUAUUCUGUAAAAGAAACUCCCUCACCACUAUUAGAGAGCAUCGUCGCCUACUGAGCAACCACCUCGCUGCGAGCAUCAACUCUAGCCCAUCAUUUAUGUAUUGAGGAGCGAGCCUUUAUUCUAUAAAAGGGACACCCUCACCUUCAACGCCACAAGCCGAGCCAACCAAGGCACCAUAAGCCACAAACCGAGCAGCUUCGCAACAUGUGCUACUUCUAAUCGAGCAUCAUUUUAGAUUAGGCACCGCCGCCUACCGAGCAUCAGUUCAAGACGACAUCUAGUUACUUCGGCCCAUACAUGGAUUGAAUUUCAAGUCUCUAGCCAAAUGACUCUCUUGACUGAAGACUUGGGGGACUAAUGUUUAUACCAUACUUAGGGUCUCCGUAUUUAGAUCUCGUACAAAUACUCGAGGGGCUUAAAUGUAAUUAUGUAAUAAAGGAAGAGGCAAAUAUGUAAUAAGUGAGGAGCCCUUAUUCUAUAAAAGGACUCCAUCACACUCACAAUUAGGGGAGGCCAUUCCUUAAGCCUUCUCACCCCUCUCACAUCCCCUCUCAUAUUCAGAGGUUCUCUCCCUCACCUCUCAGAUAAAUACAUAAUCAGUGUGGACGUAGCCCAAACCUUGGGGUAAACCACGAUACAUCUUGUGUUAUUUACAUUACUUGCAGAUUCACAGUCGGAUUUACGUUGUUCCAAGACCUCCGGUUUUGUGCAUCAACAUUGUGAAUUAAAGCGCCUCUGACUCUCCUUUUUUUUUAAUGACUUUAUUCGUUUUCUAUCUGCUGCGCCCUGCAUAAAAAAUAUGCUCCACCUCAUUUUAACAUUAAGGACCUAAGCUUUAGUGCCCACCAAUUUAAACAUUUUGAAUCUGUCCUUGAGCAACGUAAAUCCAAGUUGUUAUUCAGAUUAUGUGUUUUGCACCUCAACCUCAUUUCUCCUUCGGCUCACUUCUCGUUCCCGAUAUCCCAAAUACCCCUAACCUUGACCCGCACCUCAAUUUUUCUCCCCGUUAAUGGACGAGUAGCGUGAUACGACUGACCAUAUUUGAGACUUUCUCGAUCAGGAGGUAAUAGAGAUUUUUUUUUUUGUUGAGUGGACUCAAAUGAGCAGUUAGCGCUGUAUAAUAACUUUAUAUUUAUUAUGUAAGAUGCGUGUUAAGUCAUUUCAUUGGUGUACUUCACCAACCUUGACACUAAUUUUGAAUCGCCUUUUUUUGUGUAUAUUAUAGUGUAUUAAAAUAUCACUAGUAGUAAUAGAUUGCAAAUUGGAUUGGAGUUGAAUUGCAAGGAGGUAGGCCAUCUUCAAUCGAAGGCUGACCAAAUGACUCGUUUUAGCCAUUUGGCCCUCCAAGAAAUUAAUAUUUUAAUGAACAGUGCAUGACCAUAUUUCUUACCAUCUCCAACCGAGGGCCAAAGGGCUAUAGGGUUCAUUUUAGCCAUGUCACAAAAAAUAGUCUCCAACCGAGGGCCAAAGGGCUAUAGUAUGGAAUGUAAAGAAUUGAAAUAAAAUGAGAUAAGAUAGUUAUGAAAUGAUGAAAAAUAUGUGAGAAAUGGUGUAAGAAAAAAAAUUAGAAAUUAAAAAAAAAUAAAAAGGAAGGCUGCUGGGCAUAAAAACAAAAAGUGGGCUGGGACCAAAAAACAUACCUAAGUUCAUGAGCGCACAAAUUUUGUCCCAGGUAUACUAUAGAGCAGCCAUACUUUAGUAUUAGGCAAGGUAUUAAAUAUCGAUGGAAAUAUCGGGAUAUUAUCGAUAUCGAUAAAAAUAAUAUGGAAACCACGGAAAUUGUAAGAAAAACUUGGAAAUUUUUAUUGAAACUUUGCAGGAUGUUUAUUUAGUCAAUUAUCUAUUAGUUUAUCACAAAAAAUUGGAAUGAAAUGCAUUGCAUGAUGGAUUUAACUGAUUUAAGUUGAUUAUAUAGCGAGCUGGCAAACAUUGUGAGUGUAGA
rnacentral:lncRNA from 1 species